rnacentral:lncRNA from 1 species
CUUAAAAGUAAUUAAUUGAUAGCAUUGACAUUCACCAUUUCGUUUCAGGUUUUCCAGUGUGGGCUAGGGAAGCUCUCUAGAAGUUCUUUGGAGGUUUGCAUCCCACUCUCUUUGCUGUGUGAUUCAAGAGGAAUUCACUGACCUCCAAAUAAACACCAUUUUAGGAUGAGAAGCUUCUGAGAUUUGGGAAUCUACAGACAAUUUGGAAGCUUGUCAGGAUUAUUCUGCAAAGUCAACCAAAAGAGGAGGGCUGGAGUUCACAGAUUAUUAGCACCGAAUGUUGGAUUCAGAGGUUAUUAGCCACGUAUGGCAAAUGGAGUUCCUUUUCUGAAUGAUAACUGUAGGAGGCUUGUUUGAGUAACUGGCUAAAUGACAGACAAAUAAAGAAAUUCAAAAGCAAUUUUGAAAGCA